CCUACGGGGAGCAGCAGUGGGGAAUAUUGCACAAUGGGGGAAACCCUGAUGCAGCGACGCCGCGUGAGUGAAGAAGUAAUUCGUUAUGUAAAGCUCUAUCAGCAGGGAAGAAAAUGACGGUACCUGAGUAAGAAGCCCCGGCUAACGACGUGCCAGCAGCCGCGGUAAUACGUAGGGGGCAAGCGUUAUCCGGAUUUACUGGGGUGAAAGGGAGCGUAGACGGCAGUGCAAGUCUGGGGUGAAAGGCGGGGGCUCAACCCCCGGACUGCUCUGGAAACUGUACGGCUGGAGUGCAGGAGAGGUAAGUGGAAUUCCUGGUGUAGCGGUGAAAUGCGUAGAUAUUAGGAGGAACACCAGUGGCGAAGGCGGCUUACUGGACUGUAACUGACGUUGAGGCUCGAAAGCGUGGGGAGCAAACAGGAUUAGAUACCCGUGUAGUC
rnacentral:rRNA from 1 species